rnacentral:lncRNA from 1 species
AUUUUAUUGUAAAUAAUAUAUCUUAACAAAUGCACUUGAUGAUAACUCUUGAUACAAACUUCCUUUAAAUCAUAUUGGUGUAUUCUGACAUCAGAUAUCUGGGAGAUCAUAAAAUGAAAUUAUAUUUGAGCACCAUAUGGUUUUCAAAAAUAGACCAGUGUCUACACGAAAUGUAACAUUUCACUAUCUGGAAGCAGCAUUAGACAUUAUUUGUAUGCUGAUAUGAUGUUUACAAAUGAUGUCUAUUUAUAGCAUUGCCCAAAGUAGCAUGUAUCUCAAUAUCUUCGCAUAUUAGGACAAAGAAGUUGCUCAAUGACGAAAAAACAAAUUCAUUGAUACAGCUUACUUUUGAAAAAUUAGGUAUAAAAUGCUAUAGGUUUCCAUGGGUUCAAAAAUCAGCAUGCUUAGUGGUAUCUUUAAAAUGAUGCAACAAUGGUUCAUAAUAGCCUAGUUGUUGCAUACUAAAAUAAGAUUUGAAAACAAAAGCAAUGCACUAUAUUAAAGAUAGAACUGCCCAAAUAUAAUAUGUAUUUUAAAUUGUAUUUUAAAAAUAUAUUCUUACAGCUUUCUGUUAAAAGUAUUAAAAGAGCAGAAGUAUUAUCUACAAAACACAAAAGGUAUGUUCUUAACAGCAAAACUGUUAUCUGUAACUUAAAUCGUAACACAUAAUAAAUCUAAAUUAAAUAAGUUAUGGUACUUCAAUAGAGGGAGGGAAGCAGAAAAUAUAGUUCUGUUACACAUGCUUCUUGUGUUUGUCACAUGAGAUUCAAAACAUCAUGGACAAUGUAUCCUGCUGUUUCUUUAGAUUCGUUUUUUUUUCUUCAAUUUAUUAACAAACACAAAUUUUGGUAAAAAAAACAACAUUUAAAAGCAUAUCUUUAACAUAUGGUAUCAAAACUACAGAAGUAAAACAAUGGCUUCAAUAUUUGUUUCACAAACACAGUAUGUCUUGGCAUAACUUUCAUUGUUUGUAUUUGGUAAUAUUAACAACAACAAAAUUUAUUGCAAAGUUAAAUAUUUCUUCAAAAAUGUACACAUAUAUAUAUAUUUUUUCAGUAAAUAUAAAUUACGUAAAUAAAAUUAUGACACAUUUUUCCACUUGAAGGAUUUCUUGAUCCAAAAAAAUGACAGUUCACAAGUCAUAAAUAUGAAUAUUGCUCAUCUUAAACAUCUUAUAAACAGGUAUUAUCCAAGAGCAAAACUUCAAAAAAAAAUUCUUUCAAAUUUACAGUCUUCUUGAAGAUGGUCCCCUUUAACACAUCCUUAAGUGUUCUACAACAGUACUUUGUCAAAGUUCAUCAAAGUCUAUAAUUUAUAUUUUAUAUGUACGCCUCUUGAGCGUCCAUGAUUGGUUAAUUUAUUCUUGAAUCCUAUAGAUGAGAAAUAGAUGUGGAAACUUACUGAAAUCAACUUAUAAAUACUGUAAAUUCAGAAAUUAUUGCAAUGUUUUUAUUAUUUCCAAAAAAUGCAACAGGGUUUUAAUCGCAAUAAUUAACUCGCAUUUUGAAAUUUUUCAUGAUCAACAAAUAAAGAUAAAGCAUUUAUAAUUGUGCAAAUCAUUCUGUAAUUUAUAGUGGUCACAUAACCUAUUAUUGAUGAGAUACCUUAAAUAGUAUACAAGUUUUUUUUUUGUUAGGUUGCAAAAUUAAAAUAAUUACAAACAAAGGCAAUAUACAUGUAUUAAAUGGCACAUUCUACUUUAAAACAAUGUGAAUAAAUGUAUGAUUCAAUAUACUUAACCCUUUCCUCCAUAAUGACGCCUUUUGACGCCACCCCCUUUACUCCAUAAUGACGCCUUUUGACGCCUGUGUAGUACCUCUGUUGAAACGCUUUGACUCCGAAAUGUCUGCAUCAGACUUUUAAAAAAUUGUAUCCAAUAUGAAAAGGAGAUUCAGGAGAAUAUCUGACUUCAAAUUCAUUGAUGAAAUAUUCGUUUUCACAAUGCAUUAAAACACUUUAAACCUUAUGAUUUUUUUUACUGAAAAAAUCCUAUGCAAAUUAUUUAUGUUAAAAAAUAAUUCCAAUGGAGGAAAGGGUUAAACAACAUUACUUGCAUAGAUUUUCAACAAUGAAAGAUGUUUUUCCUCUCUUGAAUUAAUUUUGUAAGAAAUUACCUUCUUAAAGAGGGUCUGGAAACUGUAGGGAUUGGUAAAAAGCAAGAGGAUGUUGGGGGUCUUCAUUUCUGAGUUCUUUAUUCAUUUUGCCCAUCUUUCUCUAAUUUUUAUAUUUUAGGACCCCAUUCUUCAAUAUCCUCUUUUUUGCCCAAUUUUCCUCUUUCUUUUUUUGGACCAUUACAAAAAUGCAUUAGUCACUUUUCUUUUUAUCCCAUCCACACCCUUAUUCAUGCAAAUAGAAUCAUGGUAUGUAUAAACAUUAGUAUGGGAGUUUAAUUAUAAAACCUUUAUUAUCAAAGUAAGAUUUAAAUGAAAUCUUUUUCUUUCAUAAAGAUGAGUGGAAAAAGAAAUGAAAUACAUAACUGUGUAUAACAACCAUGAUAACAUUUCUUUAAUUCUUAUGUAGUCUUGAUCUUGUAUUUUAUCAAUAAUUAUAUUGACAGUACAUUUAAAAACCAAAUAAUUGCAUUCACAAUUCAAAAGCAAUAUGAAGGUCACAAAAAGGUUAAUAUUUAGCACUAACAUUCUCUGGUUAAUUGUUAUAACUUCAAAUAAUCAGUGAUGGUCUAAGGAAAAAAUCAAGCAAGACUGGCCAUAUAUCUAUGUCAAAAAGGCAUUAAUUAUGAAAAAAACUAAAAUCACUUUUCAGUUCAUCAAAAUCAUAUCUAUAAAUACUAUGGUACAUAAAACAAUGUAAGAAGACAAGAAGAGAAGAUCCCAAAGUAUGAGAAUAUAUUUUGAUGAUCUUUUUCCUCUUAAAACUUAUUUAUUUAUCUGAUCCAUUCCUGAACUUUAUUUAAACAUGAAUUAGAUAAAAACAAGUGAAAUUAAUAACGCAGUGUGAAUGAGAUCUCUUACAAUUAGUAACAAAUAAAAACAAGUUUCGUAAAUUCAACACUUAAGACAAUGAGGGAGGUAAGGGAAAAGGAUGAUGUAUAGGUCAUUGUUGUACCAUUAAAGAUAGAUAUGAAAUAAAAUUGACAGGUAAGAAAAGUAGAUAUUAUAGGACAACAAGGAUAUCCCUACCUGCAAUUCCCUCAACAGUCAUUAAGUCAGAACAAAACAAAUUUCAUAUAUACUUAGCUUAUUAACAUACAACUACACAUCAAAUUACUGACAGACAAGAUAACAAACAUGGUUAAAACAAAAUUCCGCCACAAUUUAGUAACCAAGGCAUUAGAUGCAAUAUUUCAAGUUUUUUUAGAAUAACUUGUGAAGAACCGAAAAGAUAAAAAAAAAAAUCUGCAAAAGUUUUUUUUACAUGGUUGUGGUUUUUAAGAUAAUGAAAACAUGUAACAAAAUAAAUUCUGUUUCAAAUGAAAA